ACCUGGGUGGCUUAGUUGGUGAAGCGUCUGACUUCGGCUCAGGUCAUCAUCUCACAGUUUGUGAGUUCGAGCCCUGCCUCAGGCU
rnacentral:tRNA from 1 species